GGUGGGGGGGCCGGGGGGCUGAGGGCGCUCCCCUGCUAAGGGAGUAUGCGGUCAAAAGCUGCAUCCGGGUUUCGAUCCCCCGCCUCACCGCCA
rnacentral:tRNA from 1 species